ACUGGUGAUAUUUGGAUUGA
rnacentral:siRNA from 1 species